AGUGAACGCUGGCGGCAGGCCUAAUACAUGCAAGUCGAACGGCAGCACAGCAGAGCUUGCUCUGUGGGUGGCGAGUGGCGGACGGGUGAGGAAUACAUGGGAAUCUGCCCAGUCGUGGGGGAUAACGUAUGGAAACGUACGCUAAUACCGCAUGCGCCCUCUGGGGGAAAGCCGGGGACCUUCGGGCCUGGCGCGUUUGGAUGAGCCCAUGUUCGAUUAGCUAGUUGGCGGGGUAAAGGCCCACCAAGGCGACGAGCGAUAGCUGGUCUGAGAGGAUGAUCAGCCACACUGGGACUGAGACACGGCCCAGACGCCUACGGGAGGCAGCAGUAGGGAAUAUUGGACAAUGGGCGCAAGCCUGAUCCAGCCAGGCCGCGUGAGUGAAGAAGGCCCUCGGGUUGUAAAGCUCUUUUGUCCGGAAAGAAAAGCAUUCGGUUAAUACCCGGGUGUUCGGACGGUACCGGAAGAAUAAGCACCGGCUAACUUCGU
rnacentral:rRNA from 1 species